CCGGUUUAGAAAAUAUCACUUUCGGUCUCAUAUGAUAGAUUUAUUUACACUGAUUCCAAAAAUAUAUGGUUUAUAUAUACUUUUGCCUGUAAAAAGGGAGAUAAUUGGCUACUUCCGGUUUAGAAAAUGUCACUUUCGGUCUCAUAUGAUAGCUUUAUUUACACUGAUUCCAAAAAUAUAUGGUUUAUUUAUACUUUUGCCUGUAAUAAGGGAGAUAAUAUGCUAUUUCCGGUUUAUAAAAUAUCACUUCCGGUCUCAAAUGAUAGAUUAAUGUAUGACCAUUCAAAAAAUAUAUGGUUUCUAUGUACUUCUACAUGAAAUAAGUGCAAAAAUGACUACUUCUGGUUUACUCAAGGUCACUUCCGGUUGACAUUUUUCAAGGUCAUAUGUCACCCAACAUUUUGCAAAAGAUCUUAUGGCUUUAUCAUGUACCAAUAUGAAGUAAUAGUCAAUUUACCUUAAAAUAAAACAUUUCAGGGGCAGUAACUGCAAUAAGAUGUCGCUGGAUUGUCUCAGACCAAAUGUAUCAUAUCUUCAUCACAAUAUAACAAACAUUUUGCACUUGUUCUUUAAUAUAUAACAUUAAAAAUAUCGGAGAAAAUGCAAAAACAAGCAAAAGACAAAAUUCAGAACAUGACCUUGACCUUUGACCUUGACCUCAUUUUCGAAGUAAGGAUCCAAGGACCUCAAAUAAAAAGACUAUAGGUUUAUACGGCUUACAGUUUACGAGUAACAAAAACAUAACGACAAAUUUAUUUGAUAAAGGUAGAUAACUCCUAUAAAAUUUCAUCGAAUUGCUUCAAUCCAAAUUAGCCAAAAAUUCCUGAGGAUGUAACGAACAAUUUAGAAAAAGAAUUUUGUCGAUAUCUUUUUUUGUUACGAAGGAGAUGCACACACUUGAUAAACAGUGAAUAGGGAGAUAACUCUUACAAAGAUAAUUGUUCGGCUUAGCAGGGUAAAAUUUAAAAGCGCAUAAACUAUACGAUACAAUAUGAGAAAUAUCUAAGCGACAUAUUGUGAAACAAAUAUUUAUCGCAAGAACAAAAUUUGGCGGAAGAAAAAAAAAAAUAAUAAUAAUAAUAAUAAUCAGAACAAAUACAAUAGGUCUUUCCACCGAAAAGUGGAAAGACCUAAUAAUAAUAAUAAUAAUCAGAACAAAUACAAUAGGUCUUUCCACAGAAAAGUGGAAAGACCUAAUUAAAAACCAAUUGUUCAAAGAACAAUUGAAGGUCUUUCCACAUCAAUUUUCUAAAUAAUUGAUGAAAAGCUAAUUCUGGUUUACUCAAAGCUACUAUUGGCGUCCAAUUAUAGGUUUCUUCAUACUGAUUCAAUAAACAUAUGGUUUCUAUAGACUUUUGCCUGAAAUAAGGGAGAUAAUUGUCAACUUCCUGUUAAGAAAAUGUCACUUCCGGUCUCAUAUGAUAGCUUUAUUUACACUGAUUCCAAAAAUAUAUGGUUUAUAUAUACUUUUGCCUGUAAAAAGGGAGAUAAUUGGCUACUUCCGGUUUAGAAAAUGUCACUUCCGGUCUCAUAUGAUAGAUUUAUUUACACUGAUUUCAAAAAUAUAUGGUUGAUAUAUACUUUUGCCUGUAAAAAGGGAGAUAAUUCACUACUUCCGGUUUAGAAAAUGUCACUUUCGGUCUCAUAUGAAAGCUUUAUUUACACUGAUUCCAAAAAUAUAUAGUUUGUAUAUACUUAUGCCUGUAAUAAGAGAGAUAUUAUGCUACUUCCGGUUUAUAAAAUUUCAUUUCCGGUCUCAAAUGAUAGGUUAACCUAUGAUCAUUCAAAAAAUAUAUGGUUUCUAGGUACUUUUCCGAGAAAUAAGUGCAAAAAAUACUACUUCCGGUUCACUCAAGGUCACUUCCGGUUUUAUUUUUUCAAGGUCAUAUGUCAACCAACAGUUUGUAAAAGACCCUACGGCUUUAUCAUGUACCAAGUUGGAGUAAUAAUCAAUUAACCUUAAAUUUAAUCAUUUCAGGGACAAUAACUCCUAUAAGAUAUCAUUGGAUUGUUUCAGACCAAAUGUAUCAUAUCUUAAUCACAAUUAAGCAAACAUUUUGCACUAGUUCUUUAAUUUUUAAUUUUAAAAGUGACAGAGGAGAUGAAAUAACAAGGAAAAGUCAAAAUUUAGAAUAUGACCUUGACCUUUGACCUUGGCCUCAAUUUCAUUUAAAUGAACCAAGGAACUCAAAUCAAUAUACCUUAGGUCUCUAUCACUUACCAUUCAUGCUAUACAUUUAUAUAUCCCUUAUGUCAAAUACAGAAGGGGAAAUAACUCUCAUAUGGAGUUUACGUAUCGCUUCGGUCAAAAUUGGACAAAACAUCCUGAGGAUAUAACGAGCAAUUUGGUAAAAUAAAUUUGUCGCUUUCUUUUACGGUUACGGAGGAGAUGCUUGCACAAGGAAAACAGUGUUCGGGGAGAUAACUCCUACAAAGAAAAUUAUUUGGUUACGCAGGGUAAAUUUCAAAGGCGCAUAAACUGUUCGAUAUCAUAUACCAAAUAUCUAAGCGACAUAUUGCGAAACAAAUAUUUAUCGCAAGAACAAAAUUAGGCCGAAGAAAAAAAAAAAAAAUAAUAAUAAUAAUCAGAACAAAUACAAUAAGUCUUUCCACAGAAAAGUGGAAAUACCUAAUAAUAAUAAUAAUAAUAAUAAUAAUAAUCAGAACAAAUACAAUAGGUCUUUCCACUGAAAAGUGGAAAGACCUAAAUAAUCAGAAGAAAA